GAGACAUCCCAAGACCCCUUGAAGACGACGAGGUGGAUAGGCGCGAGGUGGAAGUGCGGCAACGCAUGGAGCUGACGCGUACUAAUAGGUCGGCUGCUUGACCUC
rnacentral:rRNA from 1 species